AACGAACGCUGGCGGCGUGGAUAAGACAUGCAAGUCGAACGCUGAUUACGUUGCAGCAAUGUAGCGUGGUUGGAGUGGCGCAAGGGUGCGUAACACGUGGGUAAUUUGCCAUGAAGUUGGGGAUAACUUGCUGAAAGGCGAGCUAAUACCGAAUGUGAUCAUUAGGAGGCAUCUUCUGAUGAUUGAAGUUGGGGACCGUAAGGCCUGACGCUUCAUGAUAAGCCCGCGGCCUAUCAGCUAGUUGGUGAGGUAACGGCUCACCAAGGCUAAGACGGGUAGCUGGUCUGAGAGGACGACCAGCCACACUGGAACUGAGACACGGUCCAGACACCUACGGGUGGCAGCAGUCGAGAAUUUUUCUCAAUGGGCGCAAGCCUGAAGGAGCGACGCCGCGUGGGGGAUGAAUGGCUUCGGCCCGUAAACCCCUGUCAUUUGCGAACAAAGUGCAUUAUUUAAAAGAUGAUGCAUUGAUAGUAGUGAAAGAGGAAGGGACGGCUAACUCUGUGC
rnacentral:rRNA from 1 species